GGUUAAGCGACUAAGCGUACACGGUGGAUGCCCUGGCAGUCAGAGGCGAUGAAGGACGUGCUAAUCUGCGAUAAGCGUCGGUAAGGUGAUAUGAACCGUUAUAACCGGCGAUUUCCGAAUGGGGAAACCCAGUGUGAUUCGUCACACUAUCAUUAACUGAAUCCAUAGGUUAAUGAGGCGAACCGGGGGAACUGAAACAUCUAAGUACCCCGAGGAAAAGAAAUCAACCGAGAUUCCCCCAGUAGCGGCGAGCGAACGGGGAGCAGCCCAGAGCCUGAAUCAGUGUGUGUGUUAGUGGAAGCGUCUGGAAAGGCGCGCGAUACAGGGUGACAGCCCCGUACACAAAAAUGCACAUAUUGUGAGCUCGAUGAGUAGGGCGGGACACGUGGUAUCCUGUCUGAAUAUGGGGGGCCCAUCCUCCAAGGCUAAAUACUCCUGACUGACCGAUAGUGAACCAGUACCGUGAGGGAAAGGCGAAAAGAACCCCGGCGAGGGGAGUGAAAAAGAACCUGAAACCGUGUACGUACAAGCAGUGGGAGCACGCUUAGGCGUGUGACUGCGUACCUUUUGUAUAAUGGGUCAGCGACUUAUAUUCUGUAGCAAGGUUAACCGAAUAGGGGAGCCGAAGGGAAACCGAGUCUUAACUGGGCGUUAAGUUGCAGGGUAUAGACCCGAAACCCGGUGAUCUAGCCAUGGGCAGGUUGAAGGUUGGGUAACACUAACUGGAGGACCGAACCGACUAAUGUUGAAAAAUUAGCGGAUGACUUGUGGCUGGGGGUGAAAGGCCAAUCAAACCGGGAGAUAGCUGGUUCUCCCCGAAAGCUAUUUAGGUAGCGCCUCGUGAAUUCAUCUCCGGGGGUAGAGCACUGUUUCGGCAAGGGGGUCAUCCCGACUUACCAACCCGAUGCAAACUGCGAAUACCGGAGAAUGUUAUCACGGGAGACACACGGCGGGUGCUAACGUCCGUCGUGAAGAGGGAAACAACCCAGACCGCCAGCUAAGGUCCCAAAGUCAUGGUUAAGUGGGAAACGAUGUGGGAAGGCCCAGACAGCCAGGAUGUUGGCUUAGAAGCAGCCAUCAUUUAAAGAAAGCGUAAUAGCUCACUGGUCGAGUCGGCCUGCGCGGAAGAUGUAACGGGGCUAAACCAUGCACCGAAGCUGCGGCAGCGACGCUUAUGCGUUGUUGGGUAGGGGAGCGUUCUGUAAGCCUGCGAAGGUGUGCUGUGAGGCAUGCUGGAGGUAUCAGAAGUGCGAAUGCUGACAUAAGUAACGAUAAAGCGGGUGAAAAGCCCGCUCGCCGGAAGACCAAGGGUUCCUGUCCAACGUUAAUCGGGGCAGGGUGAGUCGACCCCUAAGGCGAGGCCGAAAGGCGUAGUCGAUGGGAAACAGGUUAAUAUUCCUGUACUUGGUAUUACUGCGAAGGGGGGACGGAGAAGGCUAUGUUGGCCGGGCGACGGUUGUCCCGGUUUAAGCGUGUAGGCUGGUUUUCCAGGCAAAUCCGGAAAAUCAAGGCUGAGGCGUGAUGACGAGGCACUACGGUGCUGAAGCAACAAAUGCCCUGCUUCCAGGAAAAGCCUCUAAGCAUCAGGUAACAUCAAAUCGUACCCCAAACCGACACAGGUGGUCAGGUAGAGAAUACCAAGGCGCUUGAGAGAACUCGGGUGAAGGAACUAGGCAAAAUGGUGCCGUAACUUCGGGAGAAGGCACGCUGAUAUGUAGGUGAAGUCCCUUGCGGAUGGAGCUGAAAUCAGUCGAAGAUACCAGCUGGCUGCAACUGUUUAUUAAAAACACAGCACUGUGCAAACACGAAAGUGGACGUAUACGGUGUGACGCCUGCCCGGUGCCGGAAGGUUAAUUGAUGGGGUCAGCGCAAGCGAAGCUCUUGAUCGAAGCCCCGGUAAACGGCGGCCGUAACUAUAACGGUCCUAAGGUAGCGAAAUUCCUUGUCGGGUAAGUUCCGACCUGCACGAAUGGCGUAAUGAUGGCCAGGCUGUCUCCACCCGAGACUCAGUGAAAUUGAACUCGCUGUGAAGAUGCAGUGUACCCGCGGCAAGACGGAAAGACCCCGUGAACCUUUACUAUAGCUUGACACUGAACAUUGAGCCUUGAUGUGUAGGAUAGGUGGGAGGCUUUGAAGUGUGGACGCCAGUCUGCAUGGAGCCGGCCUUGAAAUACCACCCUUUAAUGUUUGAUGUUCUAACGUGGACCCGUGAUCCGGGUUGCGGACAGUGUCUGGUGGGUAGUUUGACUGGGGCGGUCUCCUCCUAAAGAGUAACGGAGGAGCACGAAGGUUGGCUAAUCCUGGUCGGACAUCAGGAGGUUAGUGCAAUGGCAUAAGCCAGCUUGACUGCGAGCGUGACGGCGCGAGCAGGUGCGAAAGCAGGUCAUAGUGAUCCGGUGGUUCUGAAUGGAAGGGCCAUCGCUCAACGGAUAAAAGGUACUCCGGGGAUAACAGGCUGAUACCGCCCAAGAGUUCAUAUCGACGGCGGUGUUUGGCACCUCGAUGUCGGCUCAUCACAUCCUGGGGCUGAAGUAGGUCCCAAGGGUAUGGCUGUUCGCCAUUUAAAGUGGUACGCGAGCUGGGUUUAGAACGUCGUGAGACAGUUCGGUCCCUAUCUGCCGUGGGCGCUGGAGAACUGAGGGGGGCUGCUCCUAGUACGAGAGGACCGGAGUGGACGCAUCACUGGUGUUCGGGUUGUCAUGCCAAUGGCACUGCCCGGUAGCUAAAUGCGGAAGAGAUAAGUGCUGAAAGCAUCUAAGCACGAAACUUGCCCCGAGAUGAGUUCUCCCUGACCCUUUAAGGGUCCUGAAGGAACGUUGAAGACGACGACGUUGAUAGGCCGGGUGUGUAAGCGCAGCGAUGCGUUGAGCUAACCGGUACUAAUGAACCGUGAGGCUUAACCUUACAACGCCGAAGAUGUUUUG
rnacentral:rRNA from 1 species